GACGAACGCUGGCGGCGCGCCUAACACAUGCAAGUCGAACGAGCGAGCGAGAGCUUGCUUUCUCGAGCGAGUGGCGAACGGGUGAGUAACGCGUGAGGAACCUGCCUCAAAGAGGGGGACAACAGUUGGAAACGACUGCUAAUACCGCAUAAGCCCACGGUGCCGCAUGGCACAGAGGGAAAAGGAGCAAUCCGCUUUGAGAUGGCCUCGCGUCCGAUUAGCUAGUUGGUGAGGUAAUGGCCCACCAAGGCGACGAUCGGUGGCCGGACGGGGGGGUUGAACGACCACAUUUGGGCUGAGACACAGACCAGACUCCUACGGAAGGGAGGAGAGGGGAAUAUUGCACGAUGGAGGAAGCCCUGGUGUAGCGACGCCGCGUAGAGGAAGAAGGUCGUCGGAUUGUAAGCUCGUGUUGGAGGGGAAGAGAAUGACGGUACCCAACAAGGAAGUGACGGCUAACUACGUG
rnacentral:rRNA from 1 species